GGAGUGUGACAUUUCUGCGAGAAUGCUUAAAUACCGAUUUCCCGCAGGAACAAUGGCGCUGUCUUCAGUGGCACAGUGGAGCAGCUCUGAAGAUGCAAAGAUACACGAAAAAACUUCCAGAACAUCUGGGAGAAUAUUUAAUGGAAAAUCGCUUGGUUAAAACCUGACACUUUUAACAGUGAGGGUCGCUGUCUGCCCAUUGAUAGAGGCCAGAUUGUCUUGGAAGUUCCAAAGUUGCAACGAUUUCUUUAGUUGAAUCCAUGGACAUGAAACCCACAGAUAUAGAGGGUUGGCCCGGUGCAGUGGCUCACGCCUGUAAUCCCAGCACUUUGGGAGGCCAAGGCGGGUGGAUCACCUGAGGUCAGAAGCUUGAGACCAGCCUGGCCAACAUGGGUACUGCUUUCUCUUGCUGCAGCUUGCUUCCUCCCUCAGGUAUGAAGUUAAGCUACUCGGGAGGCUGAGGCAGGAGAAUCGCUUGAACCCGGGAGGCGGAGGUUGCCAUGAGCCGAGAUUGCGCCACUACACUCCAGCCUGGGCAACAAAAGCGAAACUCCAUCUCAAAAAAAAAAAAAAGGCAUAUAAAAUUAUAGCUGGGUAGGAGGAAUAAGUUCUAGUGUUCUACACCACUGUGGGAUGACUAUAGUUAACAAUAAUACAUACUUUCAGGUAACAUGAAGGAGGAUAUUGAAUGUUCCUAACACAAAGAAAUGAUAAAUGUUUGAGAUGGUGGAUGUACUAAUUGCCCUGAUCUGAUGACUAUACAUUAUAUAUAUUGAAACAUCAGUAUGUACCCCAUGAAUAUGUACAAUUAUAUGUCAACUUAAACACAUUUAAAAGUAAAAAAAAAAAAA
rnacentral:lncRNA from 1 species